rnacentral:lncRNA from 1 species
AACUACCAAACUUUCAGGUAUAACUUCAAGAACUGAAACUGAAGGUACAUGUGAGGAGAAUAUUGGUGGUGGUGGGGGAAAUAUUGAGAAUAUUGGUAGGGGUGGGGAUUCUCUUACAGUGUCAGACUUCAGGGACAAACCUGAACUGAGUAGAACUAAGAGUACUAUUUCAAAGGGGAAGAAGAAAAGAAAAGAAAAGAAAUUCUUUCUAAGGCAGAUGCUGCUGGCGUGACCUCUGAUCUUUAUGGGGCAUACAAGAACCCUGAAGAAAAGAAGGGUAUUGAAAACACUGAAAGUAUUAUGACCAGUAUAAUUUCAAGGCAGGUAGCUGCUGAUGCUCCUCAGCAAGUUGCUGUAGGGAGAGAGAAAGAUGCACCGGUUAAAGCUGCGCCAGAUGAUUGGGAAGACGCUGCUGACAUCUAUACCCCGAAACUGGAAACCUCAGAUACUGGAGAGCAAGUCCGUGGAGUGGAUGAUUCUGACAAAGAUGGACAUGAACAUGGAGUGAAGAAAUAUUCCAGAGAUUUCCUUUUGAAGUUUUCUAACCAAUUUGCUGAGCUUGCAGAAGAUUUUGAUAUUAUGUCUCUUAUAGCAGAGAUCUUGAAUGCUAGUGUGAAUGCUGCUCCUGCUACUGCUUCAGUUAAAAAAAAGGUUUCAACUGAAACUGAGGGUACAUGUGAGGAGAACAUUGGUGGUGGUGGGGAUGCUCUUACAGUGUCAGACUUCAGGGACAAACCUGAACUGAGUAGAACUAAGAGUACUAUUUCAAAGGGGAAGAAGAAAAGAAAAGAAAUUCUUAAGAAAAGAAAAGAAAUUCUUUCUAAGGCAGAUGCUGCUGGCGUGAUCUCUGCUCCUGCUACUGCUUAUGUUGAAAAACAGGUUUCAAAUCUUUUGUCCUCUUCUUCAGUUGCUCCAACUGAGGAGUCUGUACCAGUUGUGACCACCACUGAACCAGAAGAAUUAUUGACAGGCAAAAAGGAGCUGCAAGACUUGACCGUCGCGGGAGAGGAAUGAUGGAUGAUGAUAGAUGGAAUAAGGGAGGUGCUACCAAUUUCCGAACUAGCCAAGGACCAAAUUUUGGUGUUUUGAGGAAUCCGCGUGCACCGACACCAGUUCAGCAGGGAGGGAUGCAAAGAAAUAAUUCUGAUGCCAACAGGUGGCAGAGAGAUACGAAUUUUCAACCUAAGGGCUUGAUGGCUUCUCCUCAUGCUCCAUUACAGGUGAUGCACAAAGCUGACAGGAAGUAUGAAAUGGGUAAAGUGAGUGAUGAAGAGUAGGCCAAGCAAAAGCAGUUAAAGGCUAUACUGAACAAGUUAACUCCUCAAAAUUUUGAAAAACCAUUCGAGCAAGUGAAAGCUGUUAAUGUAGAUAAUGCAACGACUCUAACCGGUAUCAUUUCACAGAUGUUUGACAAGGCUCUUAUGGAGCCUACUUUCUGUGAGAUGAUUGCUAACUUCUGUUGUUCUUAUGCCUUAGUGUUGCCUGAUUUCAGUGAAGAAAAUGAAAAGAUAACUUUUAAAAGAUUGCUUUUGAACAAGUGCCAGGAGGAAUUUGAGAGGGGAGGAAGAGAGCAAGAGGAGACCAAUAAGGCCGAUGAGGAGGGUCGGGUGAAACAGUCUGAAGAAGAAAGAGAGGAGAAAAGAAUCAAAGCGCGAAGACGAAGGUUGGGUAAUAUUAGCUUGAUUGGGGAGCUAUACAAAAAGAGAAUGUUGACCGAGAGAGUAAUGCACGAAUGCAUUAAAAAGUUGUUUGGUCAGCAACAGACUCCAGUUGAGCAAAAUAUUGAAGCUUUGUGCAAACUAAUGAGCACCAUUGGGGAGAUGAUUGAUCAUCCGAAUGCCAAGGAGUACAUGGAUGCAUAUUUUGAAAGGAUGAAAAGCUUGUCGAAUAACAUGAAAUUAUCUUCUAGUGUUAGGUUCAUGUUGAAUGAUGCAAUUGAUUUGAGAAAGAAUAAAUGGCAGCAGAGGAGGAAAGUUGAAGGAUGAAUAAAGAUUGAGGAAGUGCACAGAGAUGCUGCACAAGAACGACAAGCACAGUCUAGUAGGCUGGUCUGUGGUCCUAGAAUCAAUCCAUCAGCUAGAAGGGGGCCUCCUAGUCCAAGAGGAUCGACUAUGUUCUCUUCACCUAAUGUUCGUAGUUUCGAUAGAACUCUUCCAACUUCACCACCCACACUUGCAUAUGGAGCAGGUUUAACACAAAAUGUUCCUUCAGAAAAUGUGUUGACUGAAGACCGUCUUAGGGAUAUGUCUUUGGCAGCAAUUAGAGAAUUUUACAGGUAUAUUUUUAUUUUUGAGAGAGCAGUCAUUUCUCAUUACAUUUGUCAUGCAUGCUUUAGACUGUUCUAAUUAAUUUUUGUUAUCUUUUAGUUCAAUGCAUCUUUCAGAUGUGAUCAUUCUCUGCGUGCUAAAAAAAUCUGCCUAUGAUUUGCUUAAUGUGAUUAUCCGUUCAAUUCUUGAAAGGAAAGUUGGGCAUGUGUGUUCUGUGCCUGGGGAAUGAAUAGGACUUGGGCGCAAUGGUUGGUCAUCUUCCAGAUCCUCUCAAAUCACGGAUUCUAGAGAAAUUUAUUUAGAGAUUAGUGAUGCUCAUUGUAAUCGUGCUAGAAGAAAUUCAUUACUGGUAGCGUUCAAAAACUCAUAAUUAUAUGCCUGCAAUGAAGAACUUUUGUACUGUAACUAUGAUUACAAUAUCCAUAACAUCGUGUAUGUAUUCUAUUAUAUCCCAAAAAAAAUGUAACUAUGCUGCAAUUCAUAUGUAUUUGUAAAUUAUUAGGACCUCAGAACUUUGCAUUUUCUUUUUGUAUUUAUUCCGAGUGAAGUGUAUUUUUUAUUUUAUCUUCCUCCCAUCCCUUCAAUGAAUAUUUUGUUUGUGUUGCGAGAGAAAAGUAACGAGUUAAUUGUAUAGAUCUAUCUAUGGAAUUGAUGAUUUGAUACUCUUACCUUUUUUAACGAUAUGUACAACGAUAAAUUUGCACUAAAUGAAAUGAUGAAGGGUAAAUUUGUACUCUAAAUUAAAUUAAAUUAUAAGAUGAUUGAAACUCAAGUGACAUACGUAUUACAUGUGUAAUUUUGAUGAUUAAACUUGGGUCAACAAUUGCUUGCAAGAGCCUAAAACAAAAACAAAUCCAACUGCCGGAUGCUUUUUUCUAGUUUAUUUUUUUGGUUCCAGUUAAUGGACAUUAAUUAAUCAGAGUAAGUACGCAAUGAUUCUGCUAUGGUACAAUUUUCGUUAAGUAGAGGGGUUUGUUUGACAAAAAUAAUCUUUAAAAGGUGGUAACGUGAUCGUUUACGUGACAAUUUAACAAAUAUAUUGACAAAUUUAUCAUGGAAUGAUUAAAAUGAUUUACGGUAGACAAUGAUGUAGGACAAGAUUGUGGUGAAUUUUCAUGAAGAAAAAGUAAAGAAAAUGAGAGCUCUAUAAAACUGACAAGGAAUGAUGCAUUAGAGAAAAUCUCCACUCAAAUACCAAAUAUGGCGUUAAAAUAGGAAGAAUAUUGUGUUGGGAUUUUUUGGUUGCUUGAGAAAUGGACUGAAGGAAGACAAAAGGACGUGGCGGGAAUUUAUAUAUUUAGCGCUCAAGCUUCGUUUUGAGCCCAAGAUACAUUUUUGAAAAGAGCGUGACAUCCCAGUUCAAACUCACUAUUUUGUUGCAAUGUUAUGAUGAAUUUUAGUGUUCUAAAAAUCGUAGGCGCUGGGCGGUGGCUGACCGAGGGGAUUAAUGCAAAAUCGGGAGCAAAAUCGGGAUAGGGAUUAGGCGGCCCUUGGGCGGCCUAGGUAGGCGACUGAGUGGCCUAGGCGGUCUAGGAAUUUCAGUUUUGUUAUGUUUUCAAGAAUGCAGAUCAGCUGCAUUUUUUUUUUUUUUUUUGCCUUUCUGGGUUUCUUCUGGUUCUCGGUUUGGCAAAGAGGAAAAGAGGAAGACGAUGACAUUCUCUCUCUUCCUUUCACACCAUGUGACCAAGCUACAUACUUUUCUUAUUUAAUUUUUUUUUCUUAGUUUCUCUCCAAUCAAAUUUGGACAGCUAGCAUCAAAUUGCUUGCUUUUUGUAAAAAGCCAUAGGCUGUCAGUUCUAGCACAUUGAUUUUUCUCCAGAGGUGGAUUGUCUGCCCUCCCAUUUCCAUACUCUUCCCAUCCCUUCCUGUUUGUGUGGUCACGGUUAAGCGAUGUCAAUAUUUUAUAUUCUUAUUACUUUUUGUUUUAUUAUUUUUAUAAAAAAAUCAAUAUAAAAUGUUGAAGUGGCUUAACCGUGACUACACAAACAGGAGAGGAUUGGAAGAGUAUGGAAAUGGGAAGGCAGACAAUCCACCUCUUUUUUCUCCUAAAAAAUGAUAGGGUGUCAGGUUGAAGAUGUCAUUGUCAUUAAGUUUUGGUGCAGAGUUCCCAUCUUUAUGCGUCCUAGUGUGUCCUUUCCACAUCCACAUAUUGAACACCUUUAUUUCUCUUUAACUUCAACAUAAAUUAAUAUGAUCUCUAAAAAAUAUUAUUAUGAACCACCCAUAUUGACAUCAUAAUUUUCUCUUUAUUAUGAACCAUCCAACCCAAUACAUGGGAUUAUUACUUUUAUUUUAAAAAAAUUAGAUAUGAAUUAUAAUCAUUCAAAAUGUCUUAAGUUAUAUGGCAUAUAUGCUUAAUGUGUUUUUAAACUUUGAAUUUGUUAGAUACUUUUUUUUUUUGUAUUUUAUCAUUCUUUUAUUAUCUUAUCCAUGAAUUUCAUACAAGUAUAAUUUUUUGUAAGUGUUAAUAUACACUUAUUUACAAGAUAUACAAAAAAUUUACUUAAAUCCGUCUAGGCCGCCUAGCCCCCGCCUAACCGCCUAGAAGCUAGGCGCCAACCCGCCGCCCGACUAGUGCCUAGCAUUUUUUAGAAUCUUGAAUUUUAGUCAUCCAAGGUUGUUUAGAAGUCCAAAACAGCAAAAUAAACUUGUAAUCAAUUUUGAACUUUUUAAUUUCUGUUGGAAUUCAUGUCAUUUUAAUUCCCUAAGACCCUUGAGCUUCCCUAGGGUUGUGUUUAUGUCUUUAAGCUAUUGGGCUUCCAAUGUAAUUCAUCAAUUUCAAAAUUAAUCAAACACCCUUUUCAGUUUUCUCUCAAAAUCUAAUGGACUCAAGAAUCCUUUGUUUUUCAAGAUUUACGUUUGUAAUCAUUCACGCUCGUGAUGCGUCAAUUAGUAUCAAAGCAGGGAUUUAUCAUGUUCUUUGGCAAUCGAUUAUGGGAGAAGCAAAACCCUAAGCGGCGUUGUUCGUAAGGGAAUGGCAAUAGAUGCGGUGUGCGCAAAAAGAAUAGCCCCGAGCCACCCUCAUCUAGUUGAUGUUGAAGAUAUUCCUAUUUUCUUGGGAAGUGAUUGCAUUAAAGGUUUUCUCUUGUGGGUUGAGGAUGUAGAGAAACUUUUCAAGAUACAACCAAUUCCAGAAAGGAAGAUAGUGAAGAUCAAUCGUUGCUUCUUGUUUAGAUGGUGAUGUGCAUUUAUGGUGGGAUCAAAUGCAAGAGUCUAGGCGAAAACAAGGUAAAAUCCUAUCACUUGGCAUUGGUUGAAGUGACUAAUUGUUAAACAAUUUCUUUUUUUUUUUAUUUAUUUAUACAAAUUGUAUUUGGCAAGUAUGGGUCAAGCAAUCAUUAGAAAAGAAGCUAAAGUGAUGGAGAAUGAUAUUUCAUUAUGCCAAGAAACGGUGGAGGUCAAGGUGGAAAUAAUGAAUGAGUAAUUUUGCUGAUUGAGAAUCUUGUUGAAGAAGAUCUCCUAAAACAUGACAACUCACAAGUGCAGACUCAAGAAAUUCAAGGUAUGGGUGAUUAUGAAUUGCUAUGAUUUUUGGAGAAUCAUCAAUCUACUAAAUAGGGGUUAAAUUCCAUUGUUGACCAAACAACAAAAUUGGGGAAGGAAAAUAUUUUGAUUAUCGAUGGCAUAGUUCAAUCUUGUUUAUGGAAUUAAUUUAAUGAUUAUUUCACCUACUUUCACUGAAAGUUGGGCUUCUUGAGUUGAACUUUCAGUGCUUCUCAAGUCGAAGAAUUUAUUUGCUUAACAAGGUUGCCAACUAGCUAUCAAGAUCGUUUUAAGAAGAACUCGAGGUUGAGUUCUUUAUCAGUGGAUGAGUCUGAUAUAAACAAGAUAUGAGUCAAUUCUGACGAAGAAAGAUAAAGAAAAUAAAAUGUUUCAAAUUCUGAAAAAGAAUAAUUAAAGUUGGGAAAUAUUGGAUUUAAUUGAUAUGGUGACAUAAAAGGCAAUAAGAAGUAUUUUGGUAUUGGAAUUAGGCGUAUGAUAUAUCGUUUUGAAUAGAAUCGCGAGCAGAACAAGAGUCAUGGUCAUCCCAUGAGCCCAUCGUGUUUAAGGUCAUCCAAGGUCAUUUUAGACUCCCAAACCAGCAUUUUAAAGUUUGUAAUAAAAAUUGGACUUUUGGUUUUUCGUUCAAUUUAUGUCAUUUUAAUUUUCCUAAGACUUCUGAGCUUUCCCAAGGCGAAGUUAAGUUUAUUUAAGCCUUUCGGCUUCUAUGUAAUCAUCAUUGAAGAAUUAAACAAUAAACCUUUGAAAUUUUCUCUCUAAACUUGUGGAUUCCAGCUUUCUGAUUUUUGGGUUUACCUUUUAAUCCCAUUUACUACGUUCGUGCAGUGUCAAUUGGUAUCAGAGUAGAAACUUGCCCUGUUCUAAUGGCAAUCAAUGGUGAUACAAACCUUUGUUCAACAUUGAUUGUGGGGAGGAGGCUAUUUAUGUAAUACCAAAGAUCUUCUAUGGUGAUUGCAGAUAGUAUUUUGUUGAUGGGGAAUGCGAUGGAGAAUUUUCCUUAAGCCAAACUCGUCAACUUGAUGUUGGGAAUGAAUUGAAAUGCAAUGAAAGAUGAUGUGAGGACUUGCAAUGAUGGAGUUGUACAACUAUUUUGCUAAAUAUGGAUGAGCAACAUGGAAUGUGAGUUCACAUGCUUUUAUACUCAAGACCAAUUUUUGAAAAGUUGAUUGGCCAACCUAUAUUUGGGACCAUGAUUUUCUGAGCCCAUGACACAUUUAAGAUAGACCGGAAUGCCUCAGCCCUGUUGACCCUAAAAACUAUCAAGCCUAUGUGGCACGUAGGCCGAGUAAUUAAUGAGCUAACUACGUCAUUCGGUUGUAUGCGGGCGUGCCAAUUCGUCGGCCGAUGCGUUGGGUGCGCUGCUGACUUCUCGAUCUUGCGAUUACGGUCGAGGAAGGAACAUGUCUCGGCCUUCGGGUUCUAGAGCCUGAAGACAAGGCUGCUAGUUCUGUGAAGUUCAAUAUCAAAAUCGGCUCUUAGGAUGCCGAAUGUAGUAACCUGGUAACACCUCACUUCAUCGAGAAGGCUAAUGAGGUGACCUCUGCCAAUAAGGAUUUGAAAAUCCUUCUCAACCAAGACUUGGAUAGAUAACCAGUCAGCCUCGUCGCAGUGUUGUUUAUCCAAACUGAAGGUGUUUCGCAGUCGGCUGAUUCUACGGCAACAGUGCUGUUUAUCCAAACUGAAGAUGUGUUAGCGAAAAAGAAAAUAAAAAAAAUCUCAAAGUUGUUGAGAGGUUUGAGCAAAGCAAUUUGUGUGUUGAGUUGGAGAGGGCUUGAAUGAUGCACUCAUUCCUCUAUUUAUAGAACUAACUUAGCGCAAAAUCCAGUCGUGACCAUCAAUCACCACAAAUAAUAAUAGUUUUGUAGAGAUGAUUAUCCAAUGAGAGCCGUGGCACUCAACGUAUUUGGUGCUAACCACGCAUUGGCUUACUGCACGGAAUUAAUCUUUCAAGUUAGACCUCCACCUUGGUUACCAACUGGUGCCACCACAUGCUAGGACUAUUCUCAUAAUGCAUGAUGCUCAAUCCCCAGGUUGAAUGCUAAGAACCCCAAAUUAAAUUGAACUAUUAUGCUUGCUUUGAUAUAGUUUGCUUCACAUUUAUCUCGUAUAAGAAAAGUGUCAAGAUAAUUCAUUAUUAAAAGAUAAUUAUCAUGAUUAAAAAUCAUAAUAUUAUCCCCUAACAACAACAAAAUUAUCUUAACCUUCCUAUCCGAUGAUGUGGAGCUAUGCUCACUCAACGGUCUUGAUUGCACUGCCGAUUGUGUAAUUUUGGGUCCAAACAAGCCCAUAAAGCACAAUCCAACAUGCUAGGCUUAAGGCCUAUUAGAGAUAUUACUUUUCUCCCAAGUAGGAAACCCUAAUUUAAGUCAAAUUAGGAUAGUUGGGGAUUAUGCAAUGUAAUCAUGAUUCUAGAUGGAUUUGGUAACUUAUCCAAGAUUUCCUCCUAGAUAGACUCCCGAUUUGAUGAAGAUUACUUUACCUACAAGGACUCUCAAGAUCCCUAUAAAUACUCAAGCCUGGGUAUUCAUCAGGGAGACAUGAAUCUCUCUCUUUCGGACCAUUGAUGGAUUCAUCUUCUCUAGCAUUCAUAUUCUCUCUACGCUUAACAGAGGCUUCCACCCCACUACCAUAGGCUACUCGUCAUGGAUGGUUCACACCAUUCUUUCUUAGGACUACACCCGCGGUUUGAUUCUCCUUCCCGGAGAUAUCUAGGCAGUAAUAAUUGGGUUCAACCACACCUCAUCCCCCAAUCAACACUAUUCUCCCCUCGUUGGAGAUCAUGGGCAAGUCCGACUUGAUUUUGCCUCCGUUGUUGAAUGUGCACAAAUUUGGUUCCAACAAUUGAUGCUCUCGUUGAUAGAGAACUCAUAUUUCCCCAACCAACGUCCUUUGCCAUGAGUAAUGACGAAAGCCGAAAGAUCCUGGAAAAAAAGAACUUUGACUGAUGUUCCAGAGACAACCAUGAAAUCCCAAAAGUCAAUAGGAAGAUUAAUCUUUCAGGAAGGAAAUUGCCAAAAAGUUACAAUGUCCUCCAAACAUAAUAAGGGAAGGACAUCCUACAUGACAUGCACAUUUUGAUUAAUUUUAGAGAGGUGUAUUCAAUUGGGAAUUUGAGAGAUUUAAAUGGAUUUAUAAAUCCAUGAAUUUUUAUGGAGUUUAAUUGAUUUGUAGAGAUUCCAUGUAAAAUUUGGAUUCAAUUCCCUUGAAAUCUCGUGGGAGAGAGGUGAGAUUUGUAGAUGCUUAAAAUACAUUACGAAAUCUCUCCAAUUCCUUCUAAUUCCUCAACUUUUUCAAAAUCUUUUUGUUUUUUGUUUUAUGUUUUUUUUUUUUUUUGAAACAAAUGAGAGAAGAUAGGGUGAGCUUAGCCUUAAAAUAGGUUAAUGCAGUUCAAAUUCGCAUUGGCGAUAAUCGAACCUAAGUCUUCUCACUUACAAGCGAAGAGAAAUACCACUAGACUGUAAUACUCAAUGGAAAAAUUAAAUUCUAAAAUACACGUAGAAUGUUAUAAACUUCUUUAAAGUCCUAAUUGAAUACACCCAAAUUUCUAAGGAUUUUAAUAUAUUAUCUUAAAAUCAUAAUUGAAGACACGUUGAAUUUCAUAGAAUCACUUAAAUUCAUGAUUGAAACACCUAGAUUCAUUAAAUGAAUUAAAAUCCCUCAAAAUUCCAAUCGAAUACACUCAUUUAAAUGCCUUGUGCUAUUUUUUAUUUUAUAAGAAUUGAACAUAAUCUUAGGUAGAACCAUGAUGAUCGACUAAAUUCACUCUUUCGUAUUUCCCUUUUUUUUUCCUUUUUUUUUACUGCAAGGAGAAUCAUCAAUAGUUUUGUGAGUCAUUGUACAACCAAGCCUGGUAAUUGAGAGAACUAUAUCGACUCCAAUUCAGAAUGAAGUCCAUGCCAGUCACGGAGACGAACAGAAAAAGGAGACAUCGAAUCAAUCCCUACCAAAUCAAAUUGCUCCGUCUGUAGGAACAUCGCCAACCCUAUAAUCCUCGACGCCCAUUCGUAGGCAACUCGCCAUUCAACCUGCAAGCUCAACCCAACUUGGAACAGUAACGUUUGACGGAUUUAGGUGCACUCCCCACUCUGCCGAACCCUCGAUCAACAUCAUCGACUCUGUUACGACACACUGGAUCUGCACUAUCCGUUUCGUAAUCCACCUCAUCUUCUCAGACCAAUGCGGAUUGUUCAAUCUGCAGUGCUUGGUUGACCCGUGUGCUCUGCUUUAGUGACGUCAUUCGCAGAACUCAUGGCUUACAUCAUAAACUAGAACAUGCCACUCUCACCAGACCCGCAACGGAAAUCUAGAAAAUGACGCUUGCUCGACCAAUCUGACUAUUGUGAGGCAAGUUCGAUUUGCAACAACCUUGGCUUUGCACAGUAAUUUUGAAAAUUGUUAUUUGAAUAAAAUGGUAAGGAAAGACAACUCAAAAGAACGACAUCUUUCUCCUUGUUCAGAUCCCAAUUCAAUAUGUGUGGAUCACCACCUCUUUCUCUUAAAAUGCUAAUUGGAUGAGGAAGAAGUCCCAACACAAGAAGAAGAAUAAAAUCUUUGGCAAACGGAUAGGAUUGGCUUUCCCAAUCUUAAGCGACCAAGUCACAUGUCUUUCUCGUUGAUUGUGGGAUCCAUUGAGUGUCGCAUGGGCUUGACAUACAACAAAAGCCAUAUUGUGAAGGCACCUGCUCUGUGGUGCACAAUAACAAGUAAUAAGCUUGGGAAAGUGAGUAGCUUCGACUCCGACAACGACAUAACCAUUUCGACAAGCAUAGCAGAGUCUCAAUGUGAAAUCCCGUCCCCAGAUUUCACUAUUUAAAUUACGUAUUUUUGUAUUAUUAAUUUCAAGAUUUAUUUUUAAAGAAUUUUAUAUAUAGUUGGCAACCAUGCAUAAAUCUUUUAUUUAGAAAAAAAAAAUUGAAGCUACCUGAUGGCAGCGAAGGAGAAGGGGGGAGGAGAGUUUCAAGAGGGAAGAAAGGAGAGAGGUGGUCGAAUGGGGAGAGGAGAGAGGAAGGAUGGUAACCAAUAGAGAGUGAAAGCAAGGAGGAAAGGGAGAAAAGGGAGGAACACAGGAUCCCGAAGGAUCCGGUUCUAACCCGUCGGCCAACCCGAUUUGGUUAGCCAAUUUCGACGAUUUUCACCCCUUUUUCGGCGAAUUAGACCAAUCCACCGCUCCAGAUCAUUAUCUUGACCCUUCCUCUACCAUUCCCACACAAAAUUCGGGGAGAUUAGGUUUGAAAUUGUGGAUAUUUGCACCGGUGGGUGCAACGGGCUUCGGGGCGGCAAUCUAUCAAAUUCAAAGGUAACUCCGUCAGCCAACACCACCAAAAUACUCCCCUCAACCUCAAGAACAAAGCCCAAGUAGUGGUGGAGGUGUCAGAGUAAGUAUGGAGGUCGAAUCGGAGCACACCCAAUCCUAGGGUUCCAGCGAUUCGUGGGUGAUUUCAAGUGUUUCCCGGCUGAAUUGGACUCUAGCCCAGGUAUGAAAUUACUCCCCUAACUGAGAUCUAGUUGUUUAUAAAAUUUGGUAAUUUUUGGAAUUAGUUGAAUUUUCCAGCAAGUCGGGGCGGCCGACCGCCAACCGCGGCGGCGCGUGGAUAGUGGGCCGAUGAUAUCUUCUAAGUUCAAUUAGAUGCCCUGAUUUCAUAAUUGAUAUCUGUAGGACACGGUUUGAUAGUUUGAACUUAGUUUCAUUACGAUACAUCACUAGAACAAAAUUUGAAUCAAUGAUCCGACCGUUGAAUCAUCACCACAAUUUGAUACAUUAUAGUAAGUAAUAUUUGAGGACAAUAGGAACUUACGGAUUGGGAAUCCGACGUAUGGAUCUUCCCGAAUUAGACCUGUAAGUUUGUAAAAUAAAAUGUCGACCGCCACUUAAAUUUGUGAUUGGCGGAGAUAUGACCAUCGUAUCGUAGUGAGACUUUAGUAUAUUAUUCUAGAAGUAUAAUUUUGACUUUGGGAAGUUAUGGAUCGAAAAUCUGAUGUACGUAUCUUCCGGAUCGAAUUACGUAGGGUUGUGGACCUUAUCGUUGACCAAGAAUUGACUUUUGGUCAAUAUGUCUCGAAGCGUUUUCAAUACUAAAUUUAAUACCAUGGGAUACUAAGUGAAGUCUAAUGUGACCACAUUGGUUAGAGAGUGACUUGAAAAUAUGGGAUAUAGUUAUUACCUUGAUUUCUUAUAUUAAGAUCAUUUGUGAAUAUGAUUUGGGUUAUAAAUGAAAUUUCUAAUGAAAUGUGAGUAUUAUAUAUAUAUAGAUAUAUAUAUGCGCCAUAGACCCAUGUUUAUUGAAUGUGAAUUCUAUUGAAGUGUUAUUUUUAUUUCUGGCCAUCGAUUUAUUUUCAUUAAGUAUGAUUUGACUUGUGCUUCGGAAAUAUGGUUUGUAUUGUAUGAUUGGAUUGAUGUGAUGAAAUGUGAGGGCUAAUAGUGGACCGUUAAACUAUUGUCAUGAGGUUUGUUACUUAAACACUUGUUUCACAUCUUGUUUCCUUAUUUCACUUUUUGUGUCAUUAAGCCCUUCUAAAUUAAGUACUUGGUUCUUGUAUUGUUUCUUCAAGCUGUUGUUGUAUCCCUUGAUUUUCCACUCGAUUCACUGAUGGUCCGGAAUCCCUUCGAUUUUACGAUUCCGUUGAGUAAUGGUCCGGAAUUGUACCCUGGCUCGGAUUCCGUUGAGUGAUGGUUUGGAAUCCCUUCUAUUCUGCGAUUCCGUUGAGUGAUGGUCCAGAAUCGAUCCAGCUUGUAUUCCAUUGGGUGGUUCUAUAUGCAUGGUACUCCCCGAUUCCAUUGAGUGAUGGUCCGGAAUCCCUUCUACUCCGCGAUUCCGUUGAGUGAUGGUCUGAAAUCGUAUCCUGAGUUUGAUUUCGUUGAGUGGUUCGGAAUCCCUCUGGUGACUUGAUUCCUAGGAUAUGAUUUCAGCUUCAAAGAUGUAGGCUUCAGCCGAACUGUGUCGCCCUAGCCCUGCAUGUCAGUGUGUUGUAUGGGUUAUUAUGUGGUGUAAUUAUUGGAUGUUGUUGGAUGUAAUUGUUAUGAUUAUGAUAUACCGUUGACCAAUAUGGCUAUAGAUUAUUAUUGCGCCUCGUCGAUUGUUCCUUGAUAUGUUGCACGCUCUGAAUUGUGCAUUAUGUUGAAAUAUGAUAGUUUAUGUGAUGAAUAUUCGAGUGUAGUGAAAAGUUGAACUACGAAUGGCUUGAUCCCUAUUGAGGGUACGUAGGCAGUCUAACGAAGAGGUUAGAUGCAGCCAUAAAGUAUACGCAAAAUUAUUAUGCAUCUGAAUCUUAAAUUAUAUUUUGUGCAUAUCCAAAAGGUGGGGUAUGUUGAGUUACGAGCAUUUAGGGACAUCACGUGUCGAUUUUGGACAUAUGUCGGGAUCAGGGUGUGACACUAAAAAUGGAAAGAAAUUCAUUGGUGGCAAGCCACUCCUAAAAGAAAGUAUAAGUUCAACUUUGAAACUAAGUUUCAAGUUCCAUCAAAGUUCCAAACUCAAAUAUGAACCGUGAUAGUUAUACAACAUAGCGCAGUGAUCUUGCUACAACACAAAGAAUUACAAAAAAAGAAGUCUCAUUUCUCUACCAUUAUUAUUACUCAAUUUUCAAUUACCCUCGCUUAACUUUUUUUGUUUGAGCUAGGACUAAUUAGAUUAUUGGUGUAUUUUUGUUCACCAUUCACCUUGUGAUUCCAAGAUGUGAUAUUCCUAGAAUUUAGAGAAAAGCAUGUCCAUACAAAUUCGCACAAAACGAACUUGGUUCACUAAAGCUUGCAAGUAGGAAGCAAAGACAGGUUUGACCCUAUGCAAACCAACACCUCAUCACAAGUCUGACUUGUAAACCUCUCGACUAAAGUCAACAUGUAACUCAGUUUGAGUCCAUCAACACUCCAACUGGGGCAAGUGCUCGCAAAGCUCUAGGGUAAUGUAAUCGUGCCUGAAACCAAUUUUGCGCACUUGAAUGAUUUUUAAUGGAAAGUUGAUUUCCUAGAUGAAUUUCAAUAUAAUGCCAAUUGGAGACUUGGAGACUAAAGCUAAGACAUUGAAGAUUGUUGUAAUAAAAUUUCAUAAUUUUCUACAAAGCCAAUCUUCCAGGUUUUGGAACAAAGAUGGUCGAAGCUACAUUCCGGUAAGAACUGCACAGCUAUGGGAAAACGAAGAUUUCAAAGCCUUCCCGAUUUUUUCUAGUAACAUGCCAUAUAUUCCUUAAAAGAUCUUAAAUAGAGCUAUAAUUUUCCACUAAGACAUAACGGUAUCAAAUAUGGCAUGCAAAACAGCUGAAUAGUAGGCUAACCCAACCAGCACAUCGUAGCAGCAUGGCUAGCUUGCCAGGUUAAACUAUACAUGCUAAAAAAAACUGAGUUUUAUGCAAUAUAUCGUCCCGAAGAUAUGGAUGUAAGCUUUCUAUAGAAUAUUGUAGAAAUCAAUUUUGAGCUACGUGGAAGUCAUUAUCACAUUUUUACCACCCAUAACACAAGUUGGAAUUCUUUGCGAGAUUUUCUAAGUUAUUCCUCCAAACUCAUAUCAAACGAGGUACAACAUGCCGCAAUAACGUAUGAGUUCUGGAUGCACACAGUCAUCAACGGCUAACCUAAGGGUUCCAACUAAUACAAGUCAGCUCCAAUGAGCUAAAAACAAAAAUCAUCCACAAAGCACUGCUUGAUAACUCUACACUUGUCCUCCUAUACUACUAGCUCGUAAUGGAAAAUGACAAUGGGCAUACUAGAGUAAGAAGAAAAAAAUCUCAUGAACUUGAACAACCCAUACAACACAUGGUAGUUAUGGACUUGAAAUCCUACACAUGAAGAAGUUCGAAUAGUAUAUUACUCCGCCUUACUCUAAAACUAUUUAGAGUCAAGCGGAUCAGAGUAAGAAUGCCUUUCUAGUUUGGUCAGGGACUAAACAACUUUCAUCUCAAAGCUGCACAAAUAGAGCAAUGAUGCCACUAUCAUUCUGUUUCAGAGCCACUGAUGUUGAAACUAAAUUCACGCACUGUUAUAUGUGGAAGAAGUGCUCAAACUCGACUACUUGUAAAACAAUAAACAACUGUGGGCAAGCCUAGGACCCAGGGGGUAUGUGUCGACCAAAAGCUCUCCAACGGUCAAGUUAGUAAACAAUUUUAGACUCAGGCAGUGGGCAAGAGAAUUCAAGUGUUUUGGUUGCGUUACUAGAGAUAAACCCUAGACCGGUGUAAAUCCUUGUUCUAAGUUGAGAGAAUUCUAAAGGAUAUCUAGAAGUAGAUAUUGCACCCUUUUAGGAUGUAUGAUUACUUGUGAUGCACGCCAAUUUCUAAAUUGUAAGAACUCUAAGACUUAAUGGAUCUGAUUGUGUCCAUAUCCGGAUCAAAUCGAGUGUGUUGCGGAAUAAGCAUGGCCAUCCAGCAGAGUUGCUAGGAUUUCACCUAUUGCCCCGGAAUAAAGUGAUGGUGGCACUACUACUACGUCUGAUCCAGCUUCGCCCAGAGCCGGUGAGUCCAUGACCGGACUUCCAAGGCAACUACAUUCAGAUCAGCCUUACUCUGGCCCUGGAAAAUCAUGGACCAACAAUUGCCCCCAACUAUGCAUCUAAGAGGCAACUUGUUCCCUUUGAGGAUGGAUUGUUACCCAAGGUCAUGCCUUUCGGAGUAAGCUUGAAUACAAACUGUUUAGUUUUCUACUUUUGUGUUGAUCUGACCUUUGGCGUUAAAAUGGGGCUAUUGAUUCACUUUGGUUUCUAUCACACAACCCCUAGAAUCGUGCAAAAUCAACUGUAAUGAUGACAAAUGCCUCCAUUUCGUGUACACGUUUCACAAAAACCAAUCACAUGUUUCUUUAAGUGGUUUCGAUCUUAUACGCAUCAAGUCCCAAUACUAAAGACUUUCACAUUCAACGGCGAGAUCCUUUAGUGACUUACUUUAAAUAGCUGCUUCCCAUUUGAGAUUUCUAGUCAUUUUCACUUUCACACCAUGGAACCUCUGCAUUCUAACCAAAGUUUUCUUUCCACACUCAGUUUCCUCUCUGAUCUUUUGAUGUUUGAAAUCCUUCAACCAAAAACCUUCUUUUUUUUUUUCUCAACAAUCUCUGCCAAACGAAGCUAAGUAAUACCCAAUUUAGCCAUAAUUUCAUGCUAAUAGCCUUUGCUUUUUGAGAUUUGUUCCAUAACAUUCACCCCUCGUAGUACCCUUCAUGCAGUCCUUGCAUAUGGGUGGAAUCCUAAUAACUUGUUGAGAUUCAUUAGGGGGUUCUUCGUCACUGCUUUCUUCCUCAUCCUUCAUUUGUGGAUGAUGACGUGGGGUAUCUCUAUCAGAAUACUCGUCCUUAAUAUAGUAUCUUGCUCGGAAUACAACAAGAUGGGCAUAGUACACAAUUGGUCUUACAGUAAAAACUCCAUUAGAGUCAAGGAUUCUAGCCAAGUAGCCUUCAAAAAUUUCUUUUGCCAGGGGUGAAGGCUUGUCACCCCAAAAUUGUAGUAUCUAUUUGAGCCCUUUUACUCGGACUUUGAUAAUAAACAUGUGUUUGUGCUUAGACCCGACAGUUUCUGACACAACACGAAAACGACACGAAAAUAACAAGUUUCGGGUCAACACAAUAACUAAUCAGGUCAUUAUCGAGUGACCCAUUAAGAACCCGUUAAUAGCAUGUUCUUAACGAGUAUACACGCGGGUAACACGUGAGUAACCCGUUUCGACCCGUUAAGAAAAAAAAUAUUUUGAUAAUUUUAAAUUUUAAUUACUAAAAGAUUUAUUAUAAAAUACAAUAGCCAUAUUAAUAUAUACAAUAUAUUCUAUAUUAAAUAUAUAGUUUUGUAUUAUUAUUGUUCUAUAUAAGUUAAAAAAAAGUUUUAGUCAUUAUUUAUUUUUAUUAUGAGAGUUCCUUAUUAUCAUUAUUAGGAUAAAUUUUACUUAACAUGUUGUUGUCUAAAAUUAAAAUAAACUAGUAUAGUAUUUGUGUAGGCAAGAACUAAGAAGACAUACAUACAAGUAUGAAAAAUGUGAAAGAAUCAGUGAAGAAAAUAUCGAUAAUAUCGACGAAAUAUCGCCGAUAUUAUCGUUUUUUUGGGACCCCGAUAUUUUAUUAACUAUCCAACUUGUUUUCGGAAAAAUAUAUCGAUAAUAUCGCGAUAUUUUCGAAACUAUCGCGAUAUUUUGUAUUGGCUAAAUCGGAGAACAAAGCCGGAGCAAAUAGGGUUUCAGUACAAAGCCGAAUCCCUAAAUCCCCAAAUUCUAAUUCAAAGCAAAUGAACUGAAUCCCUAAUUCCUAAAUCCCUAAAAUCGAUUUCAGUACAAAAAUCAACAUGCAGAAAAAUCGCAAUCUGUACAAAAUUGUAAUUUACAAGCCGAGAAGAAUGCCGGAGCAAAUUAACCGAAUCCCUAAAUCCCCAAAUUCGAUUUCAAAGCAAAUGAACUGAAUCCCUAAUUCCUAAAUCCCUAAAAUCGAUUUCAGUACAAAAAUCAAGCAACAUGCAGAAAAAUCGCAAUCUGUACAAAAAUUGUAAUUUACAAGCCGAGAAGAACGCCGGAGCAAAUUAACCGAAUCCCUAAAUCCCCAAAUUCGAAAUCAAAGCAAAUGAACUGAAUCCCUAAUUCCUAAAUCCCUAAAAUCGAUUUCAGUACAAAAAUCAAGCAACAUGCAGAAAAAUUGAAAUCUGUACAAAAAUUAAAAUUAAAAGCCGAGAAGAAGAGAAGUAGGAGCCUGGGAACGUCGUCUUCCUCACGAAUCCAAGACGGUUGGGACAACGUCGUGCUCCUCAGUGGUGUCGACGGCUGGGACUACGAUGAAUUCCGGUCCAUCUCCAUGGAACAAGGUGGUUUAGAAGGCGGUUAUCGAGUGGUGUCGACGGCUGGGUUUAGGGCGGGUGAGAUGGGAGGAGCAAAGGGAGACACGGACGAGGAGGAUCGAGAUUCGAGAGAUGAGUCUGUGUGUGUGUGUGGAAGAACUGGAGAAGGGGGAAGGGAGGGAGAAGACUGAGAACGAAGACUCAGAGAGAGAAGAGAGAGAAGAGAGAGAUUGAGACGAUUCGAGAAAGGAAUGAAUGAUCGAGACUCUCUGAGCUCCGUGUGUGGUGUGCGUGUGUGGUGUGGUGUGGGGGGUCUCGAAGUGUGUGUGUGGUGGAGUGUGAGUUCUUCACUGUUUUUGACUGUCUGUGUGGUGGCGUGUAAGAAAAAAAAAGGAUCCAAUGAUCCAAAUAAUUCAAAACCAAAUAAUUCAAAACCUAUCUCUAGCUCUCUGAUACAAUGAUCCAAAUAACUUUUUUGCAAUUUCAGAGCAUGGACAACAAAUAAUACUGCUUUCAUAAUGAAAUCGUGUGACAGUCAGUAAGAUUCUUUCACAUGUAAAACAGUGUCAGUGUGUCAAUGUCUGUUAUAUACUUACAUUCUUUCACCUUAUCAGAGGUGGAGUAUCAGAGGCAUUCACAGAAUUUUCGUUUCUUCUUCUUCCCAUACCAUUUUCAAAACCAUUCCAGAUCCAUUCCAAAGCUUGAACACAAAGGGUUCCAUAUUUAAGGUAAGUUUACAAACUUAAAUUUAUAUUAUUGUAAUUUAUACAACAACAAAUAAAUUUGUGUGGACUCGUAUGUUAAUUUUUUUAAGUAAUUAAUACUUGCAUGUUAAUUUUUGUAAGUAAUUAAGUAAUGUUAACAAUUACAUGUUAAUUUUUUUAAGUAAUUAAGUAAUGUUGUAUAAUUAUUCCCUAGGAUAAUUUUAAUAUGUUUAAUGUUAUUUAUUAUUUUAUUUCCCUUACCAUUUUCAAAGUCAUUCCAGAUCCAUUCCAAAGCUUGAACACAAAGGGUUCCAUAUUUAAGGUAAGUUUACAAACUUAAAUUUAUAUUAUUGUAAUUUAUACAACAACAAAUAAAUUUGUGUGGACUCGUAUGUUAAUCUUUUUAAGUAAUUAAUACUUGCAUGUUAAUUUUUGUAAGUAAUUAAGUAAUGUUAACCAUUACAUGUUAAUUUUUUUAAGUAAUUAAGUAAUGUUGUAUAAUUAUUCCCUAGGAUCAUUUUAAUAUGUUUAAUAUUAUUUAUUAUUUUAUUUCCCUUACCAUUUUCAUUAUCAAAUUGGAUUAUUAUUCAUUAAUAUUAGGUUUUUUUAUUAUCAAAUUGGAUUAUUAUUCUUUUAUAUUAGGAUUAUUUUUUUAUCAAAUUGGUGGAUUAUUCAUUAAAUUGGAUUAUUAUCAAAUUGGAUUAUUAUUCAUUAAAUUGGAUUAUUAUCAAAUUGGAUUAUUAUUCAUCACUAUGUUUUAUAUUAGGAUUAUUUUUUUAUCAAAUUGGAUUAUUAUUCAUUAAAUUGGAUUAUUAUCAAAUUGGUGGAUUAUUCAUUAAAUUGGAUUAUUAUCAAAUUGGAUUAUUAUUCAUCACCAUGUUUUAUAUUAGGAUUUUUUUUUUAUCAAAUUGGUGGAUUAUUCAUUAAAUUGGAUUAUUAUCAAAUUGGAUUAUUAUUCAUCACCAUGUUUUAUAUUAGGAUUUUUUUUUAUCAAAUUGGUGGAUUAUUCAUUAAAUUGGAUUAUUAUCAAAUUGGAUUAUUAUUCAUUAUAUUGGAUUAUUAUCAAAUUGGAUUAUUAUUCAUCACCAUGUUUUAUAUUAGGAUUUUUUUUAUCAAAUUGGUGGAUUAUUCAUUAAAUUGGAUUAUUAUCAAAUUGGUGGAUUAUUCAUUAAAUUGGAUUAUUAUCAAAUUGGAUUAUUAUUCAUCACUAUGUUUUAUAUUAGGAUUUUUGUUUUAUCAAAUUGGUGGAUUAUUCAUUAAAUUGGAUUAUUAUCAAAUUGGAUUAUUAUUCAUCACCAUGUUUUAUAUUAGGAUUUUUUUUUAUUCAAAUUGGUGGAUUAUUCAUUAAAUUGGAUUAUUAUCAAAUUGGAUUAUUAUUCAUUAUAUUGGAUUAUUAUCAAAUUGGAUUAUUAUUCAUCACCAUGUUUUAUAUUAGGAUUAUUUUUUUUAUCAAAUUGGUGGAUUAUUCAUUAAAUUGGAUUAUUAUCAAAUUGGUGGAUUAUUCAUUAAAUUGGAUUAUUAUCAAAUUGGAUUAUUAUUCAUUAUAUUGGAUUAUUAUCAAAUUGGAUUAUUUUUCAUCACCAUGUUUUAUAUUAGGAUUAUUUUUUUAUCAAAUUGGUGGAUUAUUCAUUAAAUUGGAUUAUUAUCAAAUUGGUGGAUUAUUAUCAAAUUGGAUUAUUAUUCAUUAAAUUGGAUUAUUAUCAAAUUGGAUUAUUAUUCAUCACCAUGUUUUAUAUUAGGAUUUUGUUUUUAUCAAAUUGGAUUAUUAUUCAUUAAAUUGAAUUAUAAUCAAAUUGGAUUAUUAUUCAUUAAUAUUAGGUUUUAUUAUUCCAUAUUAUUUGUAUAAUUACUUAAAUUUUUACAAUCAUUUUCUUUACUUUGUAUUUAAUUCUUCUGUAGAAUAACUUUAUUAUUUAGGUUCUCUUAUUUUAUAAAAAAAUAAUUGUCUAAUUUUCAUGAAAAAUAAAUAUAGGUACGUUUAAGAUGUCCAGUAAACGUGAUCCAGCUUGGGAACAUGGAGACCCAAUAGACGGAAACAAACAUGGCACAAUUUGCAAAUAUUGUGGUCAGGUAAUGAAGAGUGGCGGAGUGACACGACUGAAGUAUCAUCUUAGUGGAUUAGAUCCAUCAAAAAAUGUCCAACGAUGCGAUAAUGUCCCCCCAGAAGUGAAGGCAUUCAUCAGCACAUUAUUAAAAAAAAACAGCAGAAGGAAAAGAUAACACAGGGAAUGGAAAAUAUUUGAGCUGGGCUACGGGGAGAAGUCUAUGGCCAAGCGGUUGACAGUGAUGAUGAUGACGAUGAGGACGAAUGUGAUGAUGACAUGGGACCUGAAGAACGACGCAGUUUGAAACAAGCAUUACGUGCCUCCAAACAGUCAGCAUGGGAAAGAGAACACCUUCAUAAAAUUCCUAAUAGGGGACAAGGUUCCGGGACAAGUGGUGGUGCACAAAUGAGACGGGGAGGCAGUCUUAGAGAAUCACAACCAACACCACCAAUAGCCCCAAGUUUAUAUAAGUCAUCCAACGCACGUCAAAAGAGUGUUUGGAGUUAUUUCAAGGGAGGUAAUGUGAAGGAGGGAAUGGGGCGUCUAAUUAGCAAGUUCUUUAUCUAUGAAAAUGUCCCUGCUGCGAAGGCAUCAUCACAUCAUUUCAAAAAUAUGGUAGUGGGAUGUCAACAGGCCAGUGUUGGAGUACAACCUCCCACUCCCUAUGAGAUAAGAAACAAAUAUUUGGAUAUGGAGUAUAAAGACAUUGGCGAGUAUGUUAACAAGUUGAGGUCAAAGUGGGAAACUAAUGGUUGCACAAUCAUGUGUGACGGAUGGACCGGCCCGACCAGAUUAUCUAUCAUCAACUUCAUGGUAUACUCCAAGGGAAAGACAAUUUUUUUGAAGUCUGUUGAUGCUUCAGACCAUAUAAAGAAUUACAAGUAUAUUUACAAAUUAUUGAGGGAUGUAAUCAUGGAGGUGGGAGAGCAUAAUGUUGUCCAAGUCGUGACCGACAACGGUUCUGCAUUUGUCAAAGCUGGAAAAAAAUUAAUGAAGCAUCAUAAUGUGUUUUGGACAUCAUGUGCAGCACAUUGUAUUGAUCUCAUGUUUGAGGUAAUGGGGAAGAGAGAGAAUGUUGCUACUGUGGUCAAAAGAGCUAGAACGAUCACAAAUUAUAUUUACAAUCACGGUUGGUUGUUGGCAAAGAUGCGUGAAUUUUGCAAAGGAGAAAUUAUUCGUCCAGCUACCACUCGAUUCGCCACCAACUAUAUUGCAUUAAACAGCCUACUCAAGAAGAAAGCAGGGUUGAAGCAACUAUUCACUAGUGACGAUUGGGCCAACCACAAUUUCAGCCGCUCAAAUACAGGUCGUAUGGUGGAAAGUAUAGUACUUGAUCAUGCUUUUUUGGACUCAAACAGAACAUGUGUGUCAAGUGUUUGAACCUCUUUACAAAGUUUUACGGAUCGUUGACACAGAAGUGUAUCCUACUAUGGGGGCAGUAUAUGAGUUGAUGCGUGUAGUGAAGGAUGAAUUGGAAAGAAAACAUGGUGCAAGGUGGGUCAUAAAAAUAAUUGAAGACCGAUGGUAUAAAACAUUAUACCACGAUUUGCAUGCAGCAGGUAUAAAUUAUGUCAUAAUUUGCAAUUCAUUUCUUUAGUUGCAUAAGUAUUAUUUCUCUUAUUAGAGUAUGUGUUUCUUUGAACAGCAUAUUAUUUGAAUCCCCGAUACCAAUACAGACUCGGUGUUGGAGAUGAUGGUAACCUUAUACGUGUUGUACAUAAUGUAUACUCUAAAUUAGACCCUGUAUCACCAGCAGUUGGCCAAUUUGGAAAUGAGAUACACAAUUACUUAAAUUAUAAUAAUUACUUUGUUGGAUUAAACUAACACAAUUUAUUGUAUUCAGCUAACAUGGUUUAAAGAUGCAAGAAGAACAUUUGGAGAACUAACAUCAGUUGCUGCUCGAACAAAUAUGUCUCCUAGUGAGUAUAAACAUAUUUCACUAUAAGUUUAUAAUAGAAUUUGUUGGAGUUAUUAGGCUUAUCAACAUUAUUUUUCAUUGUAGCUGAAUGGUGGAUCAUGUAUGGGACCGAUGCACCAACUGUGAGAAAGUUAGCAAUUAAAGUAUUAUCACAAACAGCUUCCUCAUCUGCUUGUGAAAGAAAUUGGAGCACAUUUGCACUCAUACACACAAAGCAAAGAAAUAAGUUGGCUCAUAGUAGCUUGGAAAAAUUAGUUUAUUGCUACUACAACAUGAAGCUUCAAAUUCGAGAUAAGGAAGUAGAAAUCGAUCAUGUCGACCGUGGUGACCCACUAGAUGUGUUUGAUAUUGUUGGUGAAGAUGAUGAUACGGAGGGUAACCAACUUUUUCAAUGGAUUAGACCUCUUCAUUUAGAUGAUGAUGAAGGCAACCCAGCUCCCAGAGUUGCUGAAGAAGCACGUAAUGAAGGGAUAAAUGUAGAGAAAGAGUAUUAGAGGAGGAGGUGGGAUCUAGCAGCUCUGACUCUUUCGAAGAACUUUUGCACCCAAGACCAAGAAACACUGGAAUUCCACCUUCUUCCAAUCCUACACAACCACAACAUCGUGCUGAUACUAAUGAUAGCUCUAGUACAAGAUCAGGAGACUCACCUACCACCGGAGGUGGGAAUGAUGAAGGACAUAGUGGAGCUGGAGGGUAGUGGUGGUGGAUAUGGAAACUAUUAUGGACCACCACCUCCCGGAUAUAUGAGCCCCUUCACUGGUGAGGCAAACUUCACGCAUGCAACACAGGAUGAUGACCAUGGCAGUAGGCGGGCAGGACCAGGAAUUUGUGCCAUAGGGAAGGACUAUAUUCGCAGAGAAAGAGGCAAGGGGAUUUUGUCAAGUCAAGAAGAUGACUCGUUAUCUAGAACUUCAGACUCUGUUGGAUUGGGAAGUAGUAACUAUGGUUAUACUCAUAACCAACCAUUUCCCUACCCUUCAUAUCCCAUUCCUGUUGGGAUGGAAUCGAGCGACUCAUGGAAACAAUCCCAGCCUCAAUCUUCAAAUGAUUUUUCUUAUGGACAACCUCAACCAAUCUCGGAUCCAUAUGGGUGGUAUAUUAACAAUUACAUGCAAAACUAUUUUGGGGAUUUAUCAUUUGAUAACUACUCUUCACAAUACACUCAUUCUACACAUAGAGAUGAUGAAGAUAGUGAAAAAUUUGAACCUCAUAGGAACUCUAUGUGGUACUAAAGUGUAAAAUAUUGUACUAAUUCAUUAUAUAUAAAUGAUUAUGGUGUGUUUAGACUUCUUUCAUUAAUUACUACAUAUUUUCUACACUCACAAUAUUUGUCAGAUCGCUAUGUAAUCAACUUGAUAAUGUUAAAUCCAUCAUGCAAUGCAUUUCCUUCCAAUUUUUUGUGAUAAAUUAAUAGAUAAUUGACUAAAUAAACAUCCUACAAAGUUUCAAUAAAAAUUUCCAAGUUUUUCUUACAAUUUCCGUGGUUUCCAUGUAAUUUUUAUCGAUAUCGAUAUUUACCGAUAUUUCCAUCGAUAUUUCCGUGUUUUCGGACUACCGAUAUUUCCGAUAUUACCGAUAUCUUCUUCCUUGGAAAGAAUAUAUAAACAUUUGUGAUUCAUCAUUAUAACUCCACGAGUAGAUAAUGGUUACACUUACAUUAUCAAUUAGAUUUUUAAAAUCCUCCGAACCCUCAUGAAUAAUGUUUUUUAUUUGAGGGCAAAAUCAAUAAUAACUAUUGUAGAAGUGUAAAAAAAUGUAAAAAAAAAAUAUACAAUCACUCAUAAUGACAAGCUUUACAACUUUCAUGAAGGGGUCAGCUUCAAAAUCCAACACUAUAAUCCAUAAACCUUAAAUUUAUAUUUAACCAUCGAUUGUCAUUUACGUUUUAUUCUUCUUACUGAAUUUCAUUUUUAACAUUUUCUUUUUUGAAAACGUGAUCAUUUGGCGAAUGUAAGAAGAUGAAUGGUUCAGAUCUUUGAUAUCACGAUUUUGAUAUUUACGAUUAACUGAAAUAUGAGUUGAUGUCAUAUAGUUUGUAGAAACUUUAUAAACAUCAAGCAAUAUUUUCACUAACUGUAAAACUCUGAACAUAAUAUCAACGAUCCAAACCCUUCAUCUUCCUAUAUCCUCUAAUAGAUCAUGUUUUCAAAAAAGAAAAUCCAAAAAAAAAAAAAAUUGAUGAGAAAAAUGAAGCAUAAGUGUAAACAACAAUCAAUGGUUAAAUUUUUAUCUAUGAUUUAUAUGAUUAUAGUGGCGAAUUUCGAAGUUAAGCUCUUCACGAAAGUUGUAAAACUUGUCAUUACAAGCGUUUGUAUAUAUAUUUCUAUAUUUUUUUACACUUCUACAUUAAUUAAAAAACUAUUAAAUACUUUACUUAAAUAACAGCCGUAAGAUAAAUGAGAGUAAAUAUGUACCAUUGGAUUCUAUUUCACUUAAAUAACAGCCGUAAGAUAAAUAAGUAUGUAUAUUCUUAUUUAGUAUUAUGUUUUUCAUUUGAUUAUAUAUUGGUUUAAAAUAUAUUUUCCUUAACGGGUAACGGGUCGGAUCAUAUUAUCUGUUAAUAUUAUCAGGUCGGGUCAUUUUACCCGUUUAUUUUAACGGGUGUUACACUACACAACCUGUUAAGAUAUCGAGUAUGACACGAACACAGAAAAUACGACACGAAUGCCAGGUCUACUUGUGCGAACUUUUUACUUGUCUUGCAUCUUCUUAUUUAAAUCCGAUAAAAUCUUUCCAAAGUAAACGAAUUUUUAGAAAUAAAAUAAGCAACGGAGCAAAAUACAAGUAAGCUUGUGGAUCUGGUCUCAAAAGCCCCAUCGAUAAUGAUGAUUCGGAGAAACAUUACCUUCCAAACUUAGCAUCCAUAAAGUAUUCUCAUUGAGAUAUCCGGAGUACCACCUUACUCCGGUAUCAAAGAUAAAACAUUAAACCCAUGAAGAAUCUUUCGCUCUAUGCUUAUCAAUACAUUUAUCAAUUUAAGAAUUUCAAACCAUAUUUGAAACAACCUGCAAGAAACAAACCAAUAAAAAAAAUUUACCUUGGCCCAAUUCUUGGAUCAAGGUUUUCAAUACUUGCAAUGUAGUACUAGGAAGGGAUUUCUUUCCUAGAGACUGGAUCGCGUGCCAAUAUCUAGUGAAGCUUAAACAAAAGUUUUAUGGAGACUUGGUUAUCGACAUGUGGGUCGAAAGCACUUUUUGAAUCCUUUUGUCAGACCCUAUGCAUCGAACCUGAGCAUUUUCGAUUGGACUACCUUGACUGGCUUAGUCAGAGCAUAUCAGAGCUCCAUUGGAAUAAAAUUCCUCUUAGGGAUUUCCUUGUCUGGAUGCCCCCUUUAGACUUACUAACAUACAAUGUUGCAGAAUAUACUUGACCUAGUACGUUGGUCCAGGAUAGAAGUAGUCGUACUCAGGGUCGGAGUUCAAAGCCACCUUCGGAUGAUUUUUGGAUCGGCCCCUUUCAAAUAUUCCCUUAAAUGGCAUAGAGCCCAGGUUUGAAUGUUAUAACCCAUAACUUUGCUAGUUGUAUAAACUUUCAGGGUGCCGGAGGCAGGACUGGCCCUAAGGGGGUGCCAGGGGUGAGACCGCACAGAGCCCCCGAUUUUUUAGAGGCCCCUGAAUUUAAUAACCUUUAUAAUGUACACAUAUAGAUAGAGUAUGUUGGCAACGUUGCCUUAGAGGAGUUGUCAAGCGCUGAUUCUUACAUUUAAUUGUGCACGGGUUCAACUCCAUGUGGAAUAAUUUUGGGCCUUUUUGAUCUACAUUAUUUUUUUUUUAAAUAUUUGUUAAUUUCUAUCAUUUUAAAAGAUAACUUUUGAAAUAAAUCUAUAUUUAGGAAUAUCAUAAUUAAUUAAAAUCCUACAAAGUUUGAAGAUAUAAUCUUUAAAAGGCCCCCUUUCCAUCCAUGACAUCAUUUAAUUGAAUACAUAUCAUUCGUUUACUUUUGGUCACCAUUUAAGCAUCAUCUAUUUUCAUUCCAUUUGAAGAUCAUUUAGUCAUCCAUAAAAAAUAAAACAAUUAUAGUACAACUUUGCUCACAACACUAAAGUGUAGGUGAGCAGGUGAUACUCGCACCGAAUUGAUUACCGUUAGAUUAAUUUGGUUUAAUUGAUUUAAGAUACGAAUCUCAAAUUUUAACUAAUCUAACGACAAUUAACCAAGCGAGGGUUAGAAUCAUCCUCACUUUAGGGCGAGAAAAAAAAAUGCAAUAAAAAACUAAUAGUUCAUUAUAAGAUGCUAGAAAUAUCAUAACUAGUGAUUUGUUUAGCUGUUGAUAAUAAAGAGCAUAAGUGGUUCUGAUUAUGAUAUAUGUACCGUGAUAUGAUAGGUACAAAGCCACCACACAUGCUUUUUGUAUUUAAAAAGUAAGGAAUUUCAAACCCAAAAACAUAGGGAAUGCAUACAGGUACAUAGCCACCAAACUAUGCUUCUUUUUUAUUUAUUUUCUUUUGCGUUUUUACCAAUUUAUACACUAGAAGAAAAAAUAUAUAAAUUAUAAAUGAAGAUAUAGCAACCAAAAUUUAGACCAUGUAAGGGCCUCUGUUUGAGUCUCCCAUAUGGCCUCCAAAAUCUUAGGACCGCCCUGGCCAGAGGGUGUACUGAACUUAUAGGUUAGGGGCUCAUGUGUCCGUACUCGUAGCCUGCCAACCAUUGCCGCGCAUAUUACAGUUUGAGUCUCCCAAGCUGCUAACCGUUUAUCAUGGGAUGGGCUAAGAAAGACUCCUUUAACAGUGCUACUUUGAAUUUUAAACUUGCAUUCAUGCGCGAAGUUUUCAAAUUUUAUGCUUUGUUCAAAGAGUGUGGGGUAUUCCCUACAUCACUAAAAAGAGUAAGGAAAGAACAUAUAAGAUAAAUAAAGUUUUUAUGGCAAAAAAAUAGGUUUGAUUCACAAGGGGGUGUGAUGAAUCUGAGAAGGAUUGCCUAUAUAUCUUCAGGAAGGAGAAUCAAAUCGGUGUAUUUCUAAGAAAAAGAUGAUAUAAUGUAAAUGUUGGAACCAAAUAUGCUCUGUUAGCGGUGGUUGAGCACAAAUCCAAGUAAUCCUUAACAAUCUGCAAAACAGUAAAACAACUGUAAGCAAACCUUAGGCUAGGGGGGAAUGUGCUGGCCAAAGGCUAUUCGAUGGUCAAGGUAGUGAAUGAUCUUUAAACUCAAGCAAUGGGCAAGAGAAUUAGAGUGUAAAGAUUGCGUUACCAUAUAUGAACCCUAGAUGGGUGUAUUUAUACUGUUGGAGUUUGAUUACUUGUGGCGCACGCCUAUCCUUAGAUUGUAUAGAUUCCAAGACUUAUAGGAUUUGAUUGUGUCCAUAUCCAGAUCAGAUGACUUGUUUUGCGGAACAAGCAUGGUCAUCCAACGAAGUCGCUAGGAGUGAAAGAUUUUAUAGUGUUUUUUAGGCUUUACGAAGUGAAGCCUCUCCCCUAAGAUUUUGAAUGAAUUCCCUUAAACUCACAUGAAGUCUAUGAAUCCUUAUUAAACUUCAUGCAUUUAUAACUCUUUUAAAGUCCUCAAAAAACUCAAUAAAAUACACCUCCUAAAGGACACUUAGAUAAAGAUAAAGAUAAAGAUUAAAAAGUUAAAAGAAAUUGAAACUAAGAAGGAAAAAUAGAAAAGCAUCUUAAAAAGGAGAAAUUGACUAAUUAGUCAUUGAAAAAAGACCGAAUUCAGAUGAUUAAAAUUCUAAAAGAGAAUCGGUAAAUAAGAAAAAAAAAACUCCUUAGAUUACAUGUGCAUAUGAUUCAAAAUUGGUAAGCAAAAUGCCAUGUGGGAUCCAUGCACUAAAGGAGGGAUAUGUACAUUUAUUUUUGUUUGACUAAGAUGCUUCACUAAAACACCAUAAGAAGGUACAAUGGACAACUCAAAAUGGUCCAUUCGAAACACAAACAUAAAAGCUUCAUCAAAAGAUAUUGUUGCAUCAAAACUAUCACAAACAGUGGCAAAGUCAGGAAUUGUCUGGAAGAGCGGUGAAAUUUAAAAGGGUAAAAGGUCCUAAAAAUAUUUAGACAACCAAUUUCUUUUAGAUAGUAGAUAAUAUUAAUUCAUUCAUAUUUUAUCAAUAAAAACAAUUUACAACUGUUGUCGCGUGAGGUUUCAUAUCAUGAAACCGUGGCAUAAUAGGCUCAUUACCAAUAAAAGCAAAAACAUCUAUCUCAAUAUAAACAACCAUGCCUUUACUUAAGCAUUGAUCUCUCAUGUUGUUACGCAGUUGUUUUUCACAAUAUUUGAGGUUUUUAAUAAAAUUUUUGUUGAAAACUUUUGAUAAUAGUUCAAAAUAAUAAUAAAAAAGAAGGAAAAAAAAUAGAAGUGGCUUGCAUCUGUAACAUUGUUAGCCACAACAAAAAUAAAACUUUGCGUUUCAACUUAAAUAGCUGUAAAUCCAAGAACCGUCACCUUUUUCUUCCUUCAAGUUUCAACUCCUUUAAACCAUUGCCUUAUGCAACAGUCGCGACUUGCACCAGAAAUGCCAAUAUUUGGACUUAUUUCCAAGUAUUCACUGGCAAAACCGAUGCUAAACGGGCAUUCACUUAUAUCGGUGGGAUAGAUUUUCGCCUAUAGUAAAGAUAAAAAAAAAAAAAGCGCGUAGAGGAGCAAUAACAUUCUCUGCAGGUUCCGUGCAGUAAAGAGGAAUCAAGGGGGCAGAUUCUCCCUCUUAGGGUUGAUUUCUGACGACCUGAGAUGUGGCCACACCUCCUUUGGCCUCUGUUCACCAGCGAUCACAAAGCAAAACAAAAAAAAAAUCAUAAUCAUAGAAAGAUAUAAAAAGUUAAAAAUCAAGAAAAUUGACAAUAAAUUUGAUAAAUAUUGAUGAACUACAUUUCUUAGUUUGCACUAUAAGGUAUUAAAAUUGUAUCAAUUUAGCCUUAACUGAACUAAUUGUUAAACUUUCAUUAAAUAUAUCAAAUAGUGUGCGUAAAGCCUUUAUAUGGACUAAUGUAUAAGUCAUAUUGGCACUAGAUUGACAGACAAGAAAAAACUCUGAUUUAGAAGUGAAAAAAAUAUUAUUAGACUGGUUGCGGAAUGCCUGGCGUUGCAAGAUGGCAUGUGGUUGGCUAAGGCUAAAGGCUUGACUCGUAUUAUGGUGGAGGGUGAUUUAAAACUGGUGAUUGAGUCUAUUAGUGGAUCCUAUAACCCCCCUUGGAGAUUGAAGACCAUCCUAGAAUAUAUUCGGUGGCUUGCCGGGUCGUUUGAGGAAAUUUGCUGAAAGCAUGUCCUUAGGAAAGCAAAUUUUCUGACGGAUACUAUUACUAUAGUGGGUUAUUCGGUCUUUGAUUUUCAUGUUUGAGAUAGAACUCUUCCUUUAGAAGCCCAUCAGGCUUUCCUCUUUGAUUCUAUCCAAACCGGAUGCCCCAAUGGCUUUUCUCUUUAAUGCAGGCAUUUUUCUAUUAAAAAAACGAAAAAAUUAAAUAGGCGCAACCAAGCUUUGUAGGUUUUUGUUUUAUUUUAGGUUGCUUAGUAAGGUGGGUUAUACUCUAUACUCUAGGUACAGAGAGAGAAAAGGUGGAAAUAAUAAAUGAAUGGAAAGAAUGAAUAGUAAAAAGCAAAAAUAAUUAGAAAAGAGGACAAUGAACGGUAAUUAAAAUAAAAAUACGAAAGAGAGGGAUUAAAAAAAACAAGACCCAUUCGAUUUUGUGAUUUCUGAUCUCCUAAAAACCCUACCUUUUGACCACUUGACGGGUCGGUUUGUUACCACAACACACACUCUCUCUCUCCUCCCCCUUCCCCUUCCCCUUCUCUCUCUUACCAAAACACCGGAACACCAAAACAACUCUCCCUCUCUCUCUCUCUCUCUCUCUCUCUCUUCAAGUUUUUCUUUCAUUUCACUCUGCGCUUUCUCAUGGUUUCCCAAUAAAACCCUAAUCUUUCUCCUCACUCACUCUCCAGGUACUCCAAUCAAACCCUAAUCACUCUCUUAAUCACUCGCUUACGGUAAGAUUUUCGGAUAACUAGGUUUGAUUGAUUUGAUUUGGGGUUUGUGGAUCUGCGUGUUUGGUUGCAGAGAAAAGUUGAAGGAAAAAAAAAUUGGGAAUUAAGCGUAGGAAUAUAUGUCCUUCAAUCAAUCAAGGUCGGAUAAGAACGAGACGCAGUACCGGAAAACAGGGCGAACCGCAAGCUCUAAUCAGCAGCACAGGGGAUACACAACAUCUUACCCUAAGGGCACCGGCGCCGGUGGGCCCGGCCCUUCCAUCUCCUCCAACCGCAGGUGCAUAUAUAUAUAUAUAUAUAUGUAUAUCUCUGUGUGUCUAUCGUAUCUACUUAUUGCAUAUGUGUCUUUGUGUAGAGUUUGUUUCUGAUCAGUUUUACUUGACUUUGAAGUUUUAACAAUCCAUGCAAUUAUAUUGCUUUGAUUGUAAUUUCAAAUUUGGGUUUUUUUAAAUACGUUUUGGAAUUUUUGAGAUUGUUGGAAGUUAGGGUUUGAUGAUUUUUAUUUCAAAUAUUCAGUUAUAAGAAGAAUAAUAACAAUGCACAAGGAGGACAAUCCAGGGCAAGUGUAACCACUGUAAAUACUCAGGAUUCCGGUAUUGCUUUUGCACAACGUGGCGUUGUACAAAACGGAGCCCAUGCACAGCCCCAAUUGCAUGGUACAGAUUUCGAAGUUUCUGUUCUCUUUCAUUCUAGAAAUUUAUAUGAUAGUGUCGUGAUUGUUUUAAUAGACUUUUAUGGGCAGUUGAAGGAGUUUGGGAAUCUGAGAUAAAUGGUUUUUUUUUUAUUAAAUCUGUGUUGCCCAUUUUGUUUGAUUCUCAUUUCUUGGCAAUGUUUUCCUGUGAUUGAUCUGAUGUAGGAGGUUCUGAUGCACCUGUUGCAAGCACAGCUUCCCGUACAGCUGAAGCAUCAGCCUCUCAGAGAAGCUCCCGAACUGUUCCAAAACCUCCCACUUCUCAAUCUGCCUCCAUGACUUCUGACACAAGAACACCCACUACACCAGCGAAGCGUAAGUUCACACUCUGGACCAUGGAUUUUGUUGUACUCAAUGUUGGGGGAAUGUUGGCGUAUUUUCACUGUCAUAUAGUAAUGUUGUGAUGUCAAUGCUAGAUUCUCUUGGCAGUGUUAUCCCAAAUAGUUGAUUUAGUAAUGAUUUUAACGUGCUGAUAUAUGAUUUAUGAUAUAUUAGUAAAUGCCAAUAAUCAGGUUUUAACAUUUUCUGUUGGUUUUAGCCCCAGGAGAUGCGUCCAAGGGCUUUGCCUUUCAGUUUGGGUCUAUAAGCCCUGGCUUCAUGAAUGGGAUGCAGGUAUUGUUAUAUGCUAGCGAACUCUUGAUUAAAAUUCUCUAAUUUCCUGUAUUUCUAAGCGCUGAACAAAUUAUAGCAUGUUUUUAAAAGUGGAAAGUUGUGUUCCUUGUAGAUUCCUGCUCGAACCAGCUCAGCUCCCCCAAAUUUGGAUGAGCAGAAACGUGAUCAGGUUAGCUUGUUUUUCUUCUCUCUCAUCUUCCUGCCUUUUUUUACUGAAUAGUCUGAUUGGUUCAACUGCACAUGAUGUUUUUUGGCAGAAGUGUAUGUAUACAGUAGUUUUUGUCUUCCUAUUAUGUCCUUCUGUUUACUUGUUUCAUGAAAUAUUAUUCUUUGUAUAUGAAUUUAAAAAUGACUUAAUUUCAAUGAGUAAUUUGGUAUCAUUAUGCUUUUCAAUUUUGUUUAUUAAUUUGUGAAAUCACUAUGUCAUGCUUGAACAUGCAGGCGCGCCAUGAUUCUUUUAGAGUUGUGCCUUCAGUGCCAGUCCCUACUGUUCCUAAACAGCAGUUACCAAGGAAAGAUUCAGCGUCCAUUGAUCAACCUAAUGCUGCUGAGGUUCAUAUGGUACCCAAGGUUAAAAAGGAUGUGCAAGUCUCACAUGCACCCCCUCCUAGUCAAACUCAGAAACCUUCUCCUCAUCCAAUGGCUGGGAUGUCCAUGCCAAUGCCAUUUCAUCAGCCACAGGUUCCAGUGCAAUUUGGUGGCCCCAACCAGCAGAUCCAAUCUCAGAGUAUGAGUGCCAGUUCAAUUCAAAUGCCAAUGCCUAUGCAAUUAUCAAUUGGUAGUACUCAAGUACAGCAGCCAGUGUUUGUUCAAGGUCUCCAGCCCCAUCCAAUGCAGCCCCAGGGAAUUAUGCAUCAGGGCCAGAACAUGACUUUUACCCCCCAAAUGGGUCCUCAAAUACCUCAGAUGGGCAACUUGGGGAUCAGCAUGGCAUCACAAUACCCCCAACAACAGGGUAGGAAGUUUGGCGGCCCUCGUAAAACUCCUGUCAAGAUUACACAUCCAGAUACACAUGAAGAGUUGAGGCUUGAUAAAAGGACAGAUUCAUAUCCAGAUAGUGGGCCAUCAGCCCCCAGGACUCACCCAAACAUUCCUCCUCAAUCCCAGCCUAUUCCAUCAUUUGCCCAUCCUCAUACUACCACCUUUUAUGCCAAUUCUUACAAUCCCAGCUCCCUAUAUUAUCCUGCUCCAAGUUCUCAUCCCUUAACUAGUAGUCAUAUGCCGCCCAAUUCACAAGCACCGAGGUUCAGCUAUCCAGUCAGCCAGGGUUCCCAACCUGUACCUUUCAUUAAUCCGUCAUCUCAUAGUACCCUGCCUGUUAGCAAGUCUGGGUCCCUUAUGCACAAUGUGGUGGAUCCACCUAACCUGGAACAUGCACGUGAUGUACAUAAUAUAAGUGCCUCUGUUCCAUCAGCAACUAUUCCUGUUGUAAUUAAACCACCUGCUGGAACUGUUGGAGAGAAGGUUGUCGACCCAUUGCCAAACAGCUCAACUGUUGUUGAAAAGGGUGAAUUAUCAAAGCCUGUGAGACAAUCUGGAGAAAUUAUCCAAUCUGCAGGUGACCAAUCCAUCCUCAAAUCAUUGCCGGUGAUGGAAAAAAUAUCUGCAAAUGCACCUGCCACUGCUUCAGUUGAAAAACAGGUUUCAAAUCUUUUGUCCUCUUCUGCAGCUGCCCCAACUGAGGAGUCUGCACCAGUUGUGAUCAUCACUGAACCCAGAAAAAAAGAAACUCUUAGUCGGUCAAACUCAAUUAUAGAUCAGCAAAAGAAUCCAGGGAGGAAGGGAAAUGUUCAACCACAGCUUCAGGUACUUAUUUUCAGUAUUUUUAGAUAACCUUCUAGUUUCUUCUCUUUAACAGUAGCAUUUAAAUUUGUGUCAUCAUUUUACAUCCUUGAUGACAGGUUGUUGGGCAGUCUAGCUCUACAUCAAGCGUUCUGUCUCAGUCUGCAGAGCAUGGUAUACCUUCUACUAGUGAUGUUUCUGGCACUGUAGAAGCUAAUACAACUCUUGCUCCAGUAACUAGUGCAUCUGUUUCAAAGUCAGCGAAGGAACCACUGUCAGAUUUUAGUGCUCCUACUGCUGAUUGUUUGGAAUCAAAGACUGAAGUUAUUGGGCAAGGCACUAUUCCCAUCUCUUCUGAAAUAUCUGCUCCUGGGAUGGUUGUUGGUACUUCAGAUUCCGUUCAUCGUACUCAACUAGACAGUUCUUUACAACCAGAUGAACAAGGACAGCGUGACUUGAUGGGGGCAGAACAAAGUUUGUCUGGAAAUUACAAACAGGAUACUGAAGCUCAUGGUAUUUCUGCAGAAUCCAUCUCUGUAAAACCUCUGGAAUCUGCUAAAGUACCUGCAGAUCAUUCUGUUGUGAAGGAAACAGCUAAGGGAAGUACUGUUGCAAUCUCAGACACUGCACAAGGAGGGCAGGGCCAUUAUGAGUGUCUCCAUGCAGAAUCUGGUGGAAUGGAUGCCUCUUUAAGCAGAAGUGAUAGUAUGGGUGGUAGUGAAGUUUUUUUUUCAAAAUCUAACAAAUUAGAGCAGCAUUCUUCUUCUGUUCAAACUACCGAACUUUCGGGUAGAACUUCAAAAACUGAAACUGAAGGUACAUGUGAGGAGAAUAUUGGUGGUGGUGAGGGAAAUAUUGAGAAUAUUGGUAGUGGUGGGGAUUCUCGUUCAGAGUCAGACUUCAGGGACAAACCUGAACUGAAUAGAACUAAGAGUACUAUUUCAAAGGGGAAGAAGAAAAGAAAAGAAAUUCUUUCUAAGGCAGAUGCUGCUGGCGUGACCUCUGAUCUUUAUGGGGCAUACAAGAACCCUGAAGAAAAGAAGGGUAUUGAAAACACUGAAAGUAUUAUGACCAGUAUAAUUUCAAAGCAGGUAGCUACUGAUGCUCCUCAGCAAGAUGCUGUAGGGAGAGAGAAAGAUGCACCGGUUAAAGCUGAGCCAGAGGAUUGGGAAGACGCUGCUGACAUCUCUACCCUAAAACUGGAAACCUCAGAUACUGGAGAGCUGGUCUGUGGAGUGGAUGAUUCUGACAAAGAUGGACAUGAACAUGGGGCGAAGAAAUAUUCCAGAGAUUUCCUUAUGAAAUUUUCUGAGCAAUUUACUGAGCUUCCAGAAGGUUUUGAAAUUUUGUCUGAUAUAGCAGAGAUCUUGGAUGCUAAUGUGAAUGCUGCUACUUCUAUUGAUUAUGAUUCGCUCCCUAGUCCGGGAAGAAUUGUUGAUAGGCAAGGAGGGGCCGCUAGACUUGACCGUCGUGGGAGUGGAAUAAUGGAUGAUGAUAGAUGGAAUAAGGGAGGUGCUGCCAAUUUCCGAACUGGCCAAGGACCAAAUUUUGGUGUUUUGAGGAAUCCACGUGCACCGACAUCAGUUCAGCAGCAUGUUAGAGGGAUCCUGCCUGGGCCUGCUCACUCUGUUGGUCAUCAGGGAGGGAUGCAAAGAAAUAAUUCUGAUGCUGACAGGUGGCAGAGAGCUACAAAUUUUCAACCUAAGGGCUUGAUGCCUUCUCCUCAUACUCCAUUACAGGUGAUGCACAAAGCUGACAGGAAGUAU